AUUGAACGCUGGCGGCAGGCCUAACACAUGCAAGUCGAACGGUAACAGGAAGCAGCUUGCUGCUUUGCUGACGAGUGGCGGACGGGUGAGUAAUGUCUGGGAAACUGCCCGAUGGAGGGGGAUAACUACUGGAAACGGUAGCUAAUACCGCAUAACGUCGCAAGACCAAAGAGGGGGACCUUAGGGCCUCUUGCCAUCGGAUGUGCCCAGAUGGGAUUAGCUAGUAGGUGGGGUAACGGCUCACCUAGGCGACGAUCCCUAGCUGGUCUGAGAGGAUGACCAGACACACUGGAACUGAGACACGGUCCAGACUCCUACGGGAGGCAGCAGUGGGGACUAUUGCACAAUGGGCGAAAGCCUGAUGCAGCCAUGCCGCGGGUAUGAAGAAGGACUUCGGGUUGUAAAGUACUUUCAGCGGGGAGGAAGGGAGUAAAGUUAAUACCUUUGCUCAUUGACGUUACCCGCAGAAGAAGCACCGGCUAACUCCGUG
rnacentral:rRNA from 1 species